AAAACUUGUCUGAUGAUGGAGUCCAUCCAGUCCAUCCAACAACCAAGGGAGGUAACUCUAAUUAUAGAUGGGUACAACCUGUCAAGUCUCAAAACUUGUCUGCUGAUGGAGUCCAUCCAGUCCAUCCAACAACCAAGGGAGGUAACUCUAAUUAUAGAUAGGUACAACCUGUCAAGUCUCAAAACUUGUCUGCUGAUGGAGUCCAUCCAGUCCAUCCAACAACCAAGGAGGGUAACUCUAAUUAUAGAUGGGUACAA